rnacentral:rRNA from 1 species
UACGUAGGCAGCGAGCGUUGUUCGGAGUUACUGGGCGUAAAGAGUGCGUAGGCGGUUUUCUAAGUUUGGUGUGAAAUCUCCCGGCUCAACUGGGAGGGUGCGCUAGAAACUGGAAUGCUAGAGGAUGGGAGAGGUAAGCGGAAUUCCUGGUGUAGCGGUGAAAUGCGUAGAUAUCAGGAAGAACACCGAUGGCGAAGGCAGUUCUCUGGGCAGUAACUGACGCUGAGGAGCGAAAGCGUGGGGAGCGAACAGG